AUUGAACGCUGGCGGCAGGCUUAACACAUGCAAGUCGAGCGGAGCGAGGGUGCUUGCACCUUAGCUUAGCGGCGGACGGGUGAGUAAUGCUUAGGAAUCUGCCUAUUAGUGGGGGACAACAUUCCGAAAGGAAUGCUAAUACCGCAUACGCCCUACGGGGGAAAGCAGGGGAUCUUCGGACCUUGCGCUAAUAGAUGAGCCUAAGUCGGAUUAGCUAGUUGGUGGGGUAAAGGCCUACCAAGGCGACGAUCUGUAGCGGGUCUGAGAGGAUGGUCCGCAACACUGGGACUGAGACACGGCCCAGACUCCUACGGGAGGCAGCAGUGGGGAAUAUUGGACAAUGGGCGGAAGCCUGAUCCGGCCAUGCCGCGUGUGUGAAGAAGGCCUUUUGGUUGUAAAGCACUUUAAGCGAGGAGGAGGCUACUUAGAUUAAUACUCUAGGAUAGUGGACGUUACUCACAGAAUAAGCACCGGCUAACUCUGUGCCAGCAGCCGCAGUAAUAC
rnacentral:rRNA from 1 species